CAGGACUUGAACAUAUCCUUCGGGGGACACAGUUCAGCCCACGACAUAGGUCUUCAGGAAUCAAAAUAGAAAUAAUAAAAGUCCCCAUUCCACCCUGAGAGAAGUGUGUUGAGCACAAGACCGUUGGAAGACUGACUGUUGGACAGAAUGGCGGCUUCAAAGAGGGGGCUUACUCCAUCUAAGGGGGCUGAGAAGGUUCCCAGGGCAAGGGGUCUUUGAGUUAAGAUCUGAAAGACCGAUAAGAGUUGGCUGUGUGAAGGAGGGUGGGCAGAGCAGGACGAGCCUUCCAGGCAGAGAGAAGGGUGUGUGCAAAGGCCCUGUGGCUGGUGUAACAUGUUCUGAAGACAUCCAGGAGGAGGAGAGCGAGAGAGGCACAAGUGAGGCUGGAGGCUACACCCGGAUGUUGGGUCCAGCCACGCAGAGAUUUGGGCAUCGAUAGACGUGGCCCUGUGGCCGGGGCUCAUCACACUCUUGGAGAGCAUCAGAGCAUCUCCCUGUGCCUAUUACGGUGAUGUCAUCUGGACUGAGUACAAGACGGUGAGACGGAUGCGUGCCCUUCCUCGGAGUCAGGUUCUAAACGGUAACUCUGACCCCUCAGUGUGGCUCCUGUGCCCUCGCGAUCACUUAAAAGCUGAGUGUGGCCUUUAGGAUGUGCUGUCAGCAUCCGUUG
rnacentral:lncRNA from 1 species